rnacentral:misc_RNA from 1 species
UCUCCGUAGGUGAACCUGCGGAGGGAUCAUUACUGAGUGAGGGCUUCGGUCCGACCUCCAACCCUUUGUGAACCAAACUUGUUGCUUCGGGGGCGACCCUGCCGACGACUUUGUCGCCGGGCGCCCCCGAAGGUCUCCAAACACUGCAUCUUUGCGUCGGAGUUUAAACAAAUUAAACAAAACUUUCAACAACGGAUCUCUUGGUUCUGGCAUCGAUGAAGAGCGCAGC